UACGUAGGGGGCAAGCGUUGUCCGGAAUUAUUGGGCGUAAAGAGCUCGUAGGCGGUUUGUCACGUCUGCUGUGAAAACUGGAGGCUCAACCUCCAGCCUGCAGUGGGUACGGGCAGACUAGAGUGCGGUAGGGGAGAUUGGAAUUCCUGGUGUAGCGGUGGAAUGCGCAGAUAUCAGGAGGAACACCGAUGGCGAAGGCAGAUCUCUGGGCCGGUAACUGACGCUGAGGAGCGAAAGCAUGGGGAGCGAACAGG
rnacentral:rRNA from 1 species